GACGAACGCUGGCGGCGUGCCUAAUACAUGCAAGUUGAGCGCUGAGGGCUGGUUCUUGUGCCAACUGGAUGAGCAGCGAACGGGUGAGUAACGCGUGGGGAAUCUGCCUUUGAGCGGGGGACAACAUGUGGAAACGAAUGCUAAUACCGCAUAAAAACUUUAAACACAAGUUUUAAGUUUGAAAGAUGCAAUUGCAUCACUCAAAGAUGAUCCCGCGUUGUAUUAGCUAGUUGGUGAGGUAAAGGCUCACCAAGGCGAGGAUACAUAGCCGACCUGAGAGGGUGAGCGGCCACAUUGGGACUGAGACACGGCCCAAACUCCUACGGGAGGCAGCAGUAGGGAAUCGUGGGCAAUGGACGAAAGUCUGACCGAGCAACGCCGCGUGAGUGAAGAAGGUUUUCGGAUCGUAAGACUCUGUUGGUAGAGAAGAACGUUGGUGAGAGUGGAAAGCUCAGCAAGUGACGGUAACUACCCAGAAAGGGACGGCUAACUACGUG
rnacentral:rRNA from 1 species